GGGAAUACCUUUCUUAAAAAGUUAGCGAGAUUGCACAGGAUUUUCCAAUGACUUAUGCAUUAUACUACACACUUCUUAUCCUUUAAUCACCAGCUGCAAGACCAAUGUGUGUAAUGGACAAUCACAGAAAGAGAUCGUUUCGGCCGCCUUUAAUCCGUGGUGCUGAGGUCCCUUCCAUGACAAGAUAAGUAUAUGGCAAAAACUUCUGGGUAUUGCAGGCUGGAUACUUUGGUCAAACUGCUUUUUUUUUCCUAUAACAGUAGGAGGUGAACAAACAAAGCCACGUCUGAGAUUCAGUGUAAGCUAUGAAGAAGUCACUCCAAAUGAGAGUUUCUGGAGAUAUUUUUAUCUUCUAAAAGCUUCAUACCUCUGACAACCAGUCAAGCUGCAGUUCAUUUGUGUAAACACUUUAUUAGAAAUGAAAAUCCCACAAAUGUCUCAAAGGAUACAGUAAUAAACUAUUGAGAUAACUUCAAAUUGCCUCAACCUUCCUUGUAUCCAAGGAAGCAUUGUAUUAAAACAGAUGGAUAACCUGAAAAGAGCCACAUUAAAGUCUGAACUCCCUAACAACAAAGUCUUCAAUUUUUGUCAUCCAAUAGUUUUGUAAUCCAAGUUCACCCAAAUAGAAGAAACAGCAGAACAAUCCAAGGCUAAAGCUGUAAUUAUAUUUGUAGAGAUCCUAUUAAGACCCUGAAAGGCAGGAAUUUAAUGAUUUCAGCAUUUUCUUUUGUCAUGAACAUAUGUGGGAGAAGUAAUUUUAGAAAAACCUGUUUAUAAUACCACAAAUAAACUAAUAAGGAGCCAUUUGGAACACCUUGUUUCCUUAAUAUAAGCAUGCAAAUAAUACGAUAUAACCUUGCUGGCUGACAAUAAAACAAGACAGUAUAUGCCAUUUGUUGACAGAGAUGGAGGAAUUUAUUUUUAAUGUCUCAUUGAAAGCACAAAUUUAAUUCAUCAAAACUUUAAUUUAGCUACAGACUGCAAGUUUGAUAUUACAUUUGAUUAUUUACUUUCAACCAGCCUCAAAUCUGGCUAACACUGACAGUAACAUUGCUGCACGGAAAGGGAAUGUCAGUAGUUUUUAUAUAAAGUAGUAAAAAGGUAGCAAAAAACAACAACAAAAAAACAAAAAAACAAAAAACAGCAAUAGGUUAGUGGUCAUAGGUUUAA